UGACAUCAACUGAGAUC
rnacentral:rRNA from 1 species